UACGGAGGGUGCGAGCGUUAAUCGGAAUUACUGGGCGUAAAGCGUGCGCAGGCGGUUUGUUAAGCGAGAUGUGAAAGCCCCGGGCUCAACCUGGGAACCGCAUUUCGAACUGGCAAACUAGAGUCUUGUAGAGGGGGGUAGAAUCCCAGGUGUAGCGGUGAAAUGCGUAGAGAUCUGGAGGAAUACCGGUGGCGAAGGCGGCCCCCUGGACAAAGACUGACGCUCAGGCACGAAAGCGUGGGGAGCAAACAGG
rnacentral:rRNA from 1 species